UCAUCAGGUAGGAUAAUUCCUCUUUCUCCUCUAUUCAGAGAGCAGAUAGAACAUGAUGAUUGGAGUUUGAAGGAUUUGUGAUUAUCAUCUCUGUGUGACUAGGGCUCACAAAACCCUAAUCGCUCCUAUCUGAU